UAACCAUGAUAGGGGCAUAUUCUAAGUAGAUCUUUGAAUCUCUCCCAAGCUUCAUGGAAUGGUUCAAAAUUAGCUUGCCUGAACUAAAAUUUUCGAGCCA
rnacentral:snoRNA from 1 species